GACGAACGCUGGCGGCGUGCUUAACACAUGCAAGUCGAACGGAAAGGCCCUGCUUUUGUGGGGUGCUCGAGUGGCGAACGGGUGAGUAACACGUGAGUAACCUGCCCUUGACUUUUGGAUAACUUCAGGAAACUGGGGCUAAUACCGGAUAGGAGCUCCUGCUGCAUGGUGGGGGUUGGAAAGUUUCGGCGGUUGGGGAUGGACUCGCGGCUUAUCAGCUUGUUGGUGGGGUAGUGGCUUACCAAGGCUUUGACGGGUAGCCGGCCUGAGAGGGUGACCGGCCACAUUGGGACUGAGAUACGGCCCAGACUCCUAUGGGAGGCAGCAGUGGGGAAUAUUGCACAAUGGGCGGAAGCCUGAUGCAGCAACGCCGCGUGCGGGAUGACGGCCUUCGGGUUGUAAACCGCUUUCGCCUGUGACGAAGCGUGAGUGACGGUAAUGGGUAAAGAAGCACCGGCUAACUACGUG
rnacentral:rRNA from 1 species